rnacentral:rRNA from 1 species
GGGUAGCGCAGGGCGAUGCCUGNGCACGNNNCGCGUGUGGAAAUGAAGGUCUUCGGAUCNUCNACCACUGUCAGAGGGGACGAAGGCCCGGCUUUAACUGAGACCGGGAUUGACGGUACCCUCGGAGGAAGCACCGGCUAACUCUGUGCCAGCAGCCGCGGUAACACAGAGGGUGCGAGCGUUGUCCGGAAUCACUGGGCGUAAAGGGCGUGUAGGCGGCUGGGUAAGCCGCGUGUGAAAUCCCGGGGCUCAACCCCGGAACGGCACGCGGGACUGUCCGGCUAGAGACUGGUAGAGGCGAGUGGAAUUCCUGGUGUAGCGGUGGAAUGCGUAGAGAUCAGGAAGAACACCGGUGGCGAAGGCGGCUCGCUGGGCCAGUUCUGACGCUGAGGCGCGAAAGCGUGGGGAGCAAACAGGAUUAGAUACCCUGGUAGUCCACGCUGUAAACGAUGGGUGCUAGGCGUCCGGNGGAGCGACCCUCCCGGNGCCGUNGCUAACGNCAAUAAGCACCCCNCCUGGGGAGUACGGCCGCCAGGUUUGAAACUCAAAAAAAUUGACGGA